rnacentral:rRNA from 1 species
UGGGGAAUUGUUCACAAUGGGCGCAAGCCUGAUGACGCAACGCCGCGUGGGGGAUGAAGGUCUUCGGAUCGUAAACCCCUGUCGAAUGGGACGAAAGACUCGCGAGUGAAUACUUCGCGAGAGUGACGGUACCGUUAAAGGAAGCCACGGCUAACUCUGUGCCAGCAGCCGCGGUAAUACAGAGGUGGCAAGCGUUGUUCGGAAUUACUGGGCGUAAAGGGCGCGUAGGCGGCCCUCUAAGUCAGACGUGAAAUCCCCCGGCUUAACCUGGGAACUGCGUCUGAUACUGGAGGGCUUGAGUAUGGGAGAGGGAUGUAGAAUUCCAGGUGUAGCGGUGAAAUGCGUAGAUAUCUGGAGGAAUACCGGUGGCGAAGGCGGCAUCCUGGACCAUUACUGACGCUGAGGCGCGAAAGCUAGGGGAGCAAACGGGAUUAGAUACCCAAGUAGUCCCUGAGCGGGCUGGCAAGGCGCAU